rnacentral:lncRNA from 1 species
CUGGGGUACGUCACAGCUGUGUACCCAUCUGGCCCUGACUGCUCCCUUAGGCCCUUGAUCCAGGCAUCAAUCUAAUGAUAUGGUAAGAUGCAGAUGCUGACGAUGGGAAUGUAUUCUAUUUCCUAACGGUGGCCUGGACAAUGUACUAUGGGAGCAGAGGAGAGGGAACUACUAAAUCAGCUCUGGCUGGAGGUGAGGCAUGAGUCACAGAGGAGGAGAGGCUAAACAACGUCUCCAGGGAUGGAGAGCA